GAGGGAGGGAAGAGGGAGGGAGGAAGAAGCUGCCGGGUCCUAAUGCCGCCGAGCUCGGGCAGGAGCCUCCCGCCCGCUGCUGCCGCGGCCCCGGCGGGCCGGAGGCACCGAAGCGACGCCUUGACCAUCGCCAGGGAGAGUUCUCUGGCCGCGCUGGCUCGAUCAGUGAUCUCAUGGAGAACGCCCUGAACGCGCAAAACCUCCAUGUGUUGGAGACUGGCAGAGCUGAGCACAGCCACGGGUGAAAACAGCACCCCAGGAGAAAAGCAUUGAAGGAUUCGACAGAAAAAGGAAGAGGUACCGGCAGCCUCUGACAUCGAUGCACUUCUGUGCUUGUAAGAAAUCCUGAUUUUGUUUCUCAAAACUCAGCGCCUAAACUUUGCCUUGGAGCUGCUCAUCUUCAUCACACAGUACAGGAACAGAAAAAAACGCUCUGAAACAGAUACUAAAGAACCUUUUUGCAACAUUCUAGUGUGAAGCUUCUCUGAUUAUCUUUCUGAUUUUGAAGAAGGCAAGGAAGUAAGUCUAUAGUUGAAACUGGGUACAGGAAUCCUGAUCUAUGAAGAAAACCCAGUUUUGUCCAGGUAUCAGAGGUGAAACAAUAACAGUUCUGCUGAAAGAGCUAAAAAAACCCAACACCCUUGCUGCUCUCAAUAUCCGUAUUACAGACAUUGUAAGCAUUAUUAUAAAUAACACUGAACUUGGUUUCUGUUUUGCUCUUGUCCUACUUUGGGUUCUGUGGAAUGGUGUUCAAUAAAACUUUGACUUCAUGUACAGCCAGAACCCCUUCUCACCAACAGGAAAGCCUAAUAAGCUUCAGAAUAUAUAUUGUUGUUCAACUACAUUAAAAAUAAAGUCAAAGCCCUAAGUUUUUAUAACUCUGUAGCAUUUAUAAAAAAGCAUUUUAAAAUCGUACCUUGUGGGCACUAUUCAUUGCAUUCAUAUUGUAAAAUAAGACCAGAAAAUUUAAGUAUUAUCUCCAGAAUGAAUUCAGUUUUGUGAAUUCUGUGGUUUGUGUUUUAUUGAAAUGCAUUUCAACUUUUAGAAGUUCACUGAAGCAAAAGCCUCCUUUUCAUUACUGUUGUUCCUGUUUGGAGUACGCUAACAGUUCAAAAGCUUUUCUUAACUAGUUUCUGAUUUUUAAUUAUCCACUACAUUUAUAAAGCAUAUCUUUGUGUUUUCUUUAAGCAUAAGGGGACUAAACUAAAGGCUUACACUAAAGAAGUGAUGCUCCUUCCAUGUCACUGAAGUUCUUAGCAUCAGGAAGGAGGCACUGAUAAGAAGUUAAGUAUGUGCACAAAAACAUACAGAGCAGGAGCCUUAGUUUCUAGACCCCAAAGAUAUCAUAGUAUUAAAUUUGAAAAAUCAAGUACUCUUAAUUCUGUAGGAUUUUCAGCAAGACAAAUGGUAUUGUUAAGGCUUCUGAGAUCAUAUAUGUGUCUACGAAGAUGCAAGUGAUCCAGUAAUUUAGUAACAAGGUAGACAGGUAUCAUGAAAAGAUUCUAUAUUUGUGCACCAUUGAAAACAGUGAUGAACUGUACCCUGCCAUUCUGAUAUGAAGCAUUUGUUUGUUUGGCUUUUUUCCAAAUUAUCACUUGUUUGGCUAUUGGUUAAAAUACCAAACUCAUAGUGAGUUCUCUUGGUGAGAGAAUCCUCAUCUUUUUUGUGUGAGAGAACACAAAAAAAACCCAAAUUCAAGUACCUGUUUAAAUAUUCACAAGUAUUCUAUUAAUCUACUUCUAAUAUUUCUUAUUGAAUGUACAUUGCAUAGAAUUGCCAUGCAGAACAUGACUGUAAACAAAUUUCUGCUGUGAAGUAAUUAAUGUUAUAAAAAUAACUGGCUCUCUUGAAAAAAAAUAAAUACGAUGUACUAUAACCAUUUGUCUAAAAUUAAAUUCUGAUCCAAUGUUACAAUGUCAGGAUUUAAGGAUCUAUUUUAGGAAAAAAAAAUUUCCUGGCACAAAAUUCAAAAGCUGAUUUUUUUAAAUAGAAAAAUUUCCAGGUUGUGAAAACCUGUCUGUGACUUCCUUCUUACUUCCUCUGAAUGAUUUGAGACCUAAUAACUAACAUUUAGAUCCAACAACUCCUGGCUUAGCAAAAUACUGAAUUCAUAUAAUAAACACAUAAGAAAAUUAUGAAAAAGCUUUCAGCAAAAGGGAAUUGUGUCAUUAAGAUCAUCACAUUCUCCAUCAACAGCUACUCCAGAGAUAAUAAGUGGUGCUAAAAUUAUUUUCCAGACAAAAAUUUCCCUCCAUGCAUCUCAUAAGUACGUGUGCUACUGCAUAUGCCUUUCCAUUUCAAGAUACUUCACGUGUCAAAUGACCAACACAAAGGGUCUGACAGGACACUGCAUAUAUGCUAAUUUGAAUGAAAUGCCAGCAUACCAAACCCAAAUAAGGAUAAUUUAAGAAA